rnacentral:rRNA from 1 species
AUGCUUUUCAUCCUGGCCAUUGACCCUCUUCAGCAGAUCCUCCAGCUCGCCUCCCGACAUGGCAUCCUCAAGCCCAUUCGUGCAAGGACGGCCAGAUGCAGGAUUUCCCUUUACUCCGACGAUGCGGGCAUUUUUGCGAACCCAGACAAGGAUGAGCUUCGUGCAAUUUCUGCAAUUCUGAAGACCUUUGGGGAGGCAAGCGGACUAAACACAAACUUGAGUAAGACUGAGGUCUUCCCGAUCAGAUGUGUCGGCAUUGACCUCCAGGAUGUGUUGUCAGUCUUCCCGGCCAAGAUCGCCACCUUCCCGAGAUGCUACUUGGGGCUCCCCCUACAUUAUCGCUGUCUUAAAGGGAUUGAUCUGCAAACCUUCAUCGAUAGGUUUGCGGGCAGACUUCCGGGAUGGAAAGGAAAACUGCUCAACAAGCCUGGCAGGGUGGCACUC